UACGGAGGGUGCGAGCGUUGUCCGGAAUCAUUGGGCGUAAAGGGCGCGUAGGUGGCGGGACAAGCGUGCGGUGAAAACUCGGGGCUUAACCCCGGGCCUGCAGUGGGUACGGGCAGACUAGAGUGCGGUAGGGGAGACUGGAAUUCCUGGUGUAGCGGUGAAAUGCGCAGAUAUCAGGAGGAACACCGGUGGCGAAGGCGGGGUCUCUGGGCAGUAACUGACGCUGGAGGAGCGAAAGCGUGGGGAGCGAACAGG
rnacentral:rRNA from 1 species